rnacentral:rRNA from 1 species
GGGGAAUAUUGCGCAAUGGGGGAAACCCUGACGCAGCAACGCCGCGUGAAUGAUGAAGGCCUUCGGGUUGUAAAGUUCUGUCUUCUGGGACGAUAAUGACGGUACCAGAGGAGGAAGCCACGGCUAACUACGUGCCAGCAGCCGCGGUAAUACGUAGGUGGCAAGCGUUGUCCGGAUUUACUGGGCGUAAAGGAUGCGUAGGCGGACAUUUAAGUCAGAUGUGAAAUACCCGAGCUUAACUUGGGUGCUGAAUUUGAAACUGGGUGUCUAGAGUGCAGGAGAGGUAAGUGGAAUUCCUAGUGUAGCGGUGAAAUGCGUAGAGAUUAGGAAGAACACCAGCGGCGAAGGCGACUUACUGGACUGUAACUGACGCUGAGGCAUGAAAGCGUGGGGAGCAAACAG